rnacentral:rRNA from 1 species
AAACCGGAGGAAGGUGGGGACGACGUCAAGUCAUCAUGGCCCUUACGAGUAGGGCUACACACGUGCUACAAUGGCGCAUACAGAGGGCAGCAAGCUAGCGAUAGUGAGCGAAUCCCAAAAAGUGCGUCGUAGUCCGGAUUGGAGUCUGCAACUCGACUCCAUGAAGUCGGAAUCGCUAGUAAUCGUGGAUCAGAAUGCCACGGUGAAUACGUUCCCGGGCCUUGUACACACCGCNNNUCNCACCAUGGGAGUGGGCUGCAAAAGAAGUAGGUAGUUAACCUCGGAGGACGCU